UACGUAGGGUGCAAGCGUUAAUCGGAAUUACUGGGCGUAAAGCGUGCGUAGACGGUUAUGUAAGUCAGGUGUGAAAGCCCCGGGCUCAACCUGGGAAUUGCAUUUGAGACUGCAUAGCUAGGGUGCGGAAGAGGGAAGCGGAAUUUCCGGUGUAGCGGUGAAAUGCGUAGAUAUGCGGAGGAACACCGAUGGCGAAGGCAAUCCCCUGGACCUGUACUGACGCUCAUGCACGAAAGCGUGGGGAGCAAACAGG
rnacentral:rRNA from 1 species